AGAGUUUGAUCAUGGCUCAGGACGAACGCUGGCGGCGUGCUUAACACAUGCAAGUCGAACGAGGUUCAAGAAGUAGCAAUACUUCUGAAGACCUAGUGGCGAACGGGUGCGUAACACGUGAGGAACUUGUCCCGGUCUCUGGGAUAACAGUUGGAAACGACUGCUAAUACCGGAUGACGUCGGAGCGUCGCAUGGCGCGCUGACGAAAGGGUUACUGGAUCGGGAGAGCCUCGCGGCCUAUCAGCUUGUUGGUGGGGUAACGGCCCACCAAGGCAUCGACGGGUAGCUGGUCUGAGAGGAUGAUCAGCCACACUGGGACUGAGACACGGCCCAGACUCCUACGGGAGGCAGCAGUGGGGAAUCUUGCGCAAUGGGCGAAAGCCUGACGCAGCAACGCCGCGUGCGGGAAGAAGGCCUUCGGGUUGUAAACCGCUUUCAGAAGGAACGAAAAUGACGGUACUUUCAGAAGAAGGUGCGGCCAACUACGUGCCAGCAGCCGCGGUGACACGUAGGCACCAAGCGUUGUCCGGAUUUAUUGGGCGUAAAGAGCUCGUAGGCGGUUCAGUAAGUCGGAUGUGAAACCUUUGGGCUCAACCCAAAGCCUGCAUCUGAUACUGCUGUGACUUGAGUUCGGUAGGGGAGCGGGGAAUUCCUAGUGUAGCGGUGAAAUGCGCAGAUAUUAGGAGGAACACUCGGUGGCGAAGGCGCCGCUCUGGGUCGAAACUGACGCUGAGGAGCGAAAGCGUGGGUAGCAAACAGGAUUAGAUACUCUGGUAGUCCACGCCGUAAACGUUGGGCACUAGGUGUGGGUCUCAACCAACGAGAUCCGCGCCGUCGCUAACGCAUUAAGUGCUCUGCCUGGGGAGUACGGCCGCAAGGUUAAACUCAAAGGAAUUG
rnacentral:rRNA from 1 species